rnacentral:rRNA from 1 species
UAGGGAAUCUUCGGCAAUGGGGGGAACCCUGACCGAGCAACGCCGCGUGAGUGAAGAAGGUUUUCGGAUCGUAAAGCUCUGUUGUUAAGGAAGAACGAGUGUGAGAAUGGAAAGUUCAUGCUGUGACGGUACUUAACCAGAAAGGGACGGCUAACUACGUGCCAGCAGCCGCGGUAAUACGUAGGUCCCGAGCGUUGUCCGGGUUUAUUGGGCGUAAAGCGAGCGCAGGCGGUCAAUUAAGUCUGAUGUGAAAGCCCCCGGCUCAACCGGGGAGGGUCAUUGGAAACUGAUUGAAUUGAGUGCAGAAGAGGAGAGUGGAAUUCCAUGUGUAGCGGUGAAAUGCGUAGAUAUAUGGGGGAACACCAGUGGCGAAGGCGACUCUCUGGUCUGUAACUGACGCUGAGGCUCGAAAGCGUGGGUAGCAAACAGG